GUUCGUGUACAACACAAUUUGCAAGACAUAAGCUAAAAAGAGUCAUCAAAUGAACGCAAGAUAUAUAUAUAUACAUAUAUAUUUUUGAUGAGCUACAAACUCAAAGUUGAUUAAAAAAUUUCAUCCAAACCGAAACUAAAAAAUGAACCAAAAAGGAUUUGCUUGAUAGAGAGACUUACAGAUGAAACUCAAAAUGCCAAAUAAGGCCGGUGCGAUAGCUGGGAAGGGAGCUCCCAAGUAAUUUAUAUAAAUUUUCAAUUGUGUGGUUAUUUUUGUGUGAUUCCCAUCGUGAAAUUACUCUUAAUCUUCCUUCGAAAGUAGUUGGGUUGAUCACAAUUGUGUAAGGUUGAUUUUGUGUGAUCACAUUUUGUGUUCUAAAUCUUUUCUUCAAAUGUUACGAUAUUGAUCAAUAUUGUGUGUUCUGUUACUUCCUUGCAAGCCACCAAAGUAGUUUAAAAUUACAAAAUUGUUGGCGGAUCUUAUGCGUUUCCUUCACGAAUAGGCAUUUGCCUCUUUCAAGAUUGCUUAUCACGCUCUUCAUCAGUUGGGGCUUCUCUAGCAAGCUCUUCGACAGUUGCAGCUUCUCCAGCAAGCUGUGCAUCACUUCUUGCCACCUCUGUUGCCGCAGCUUUUCAGCCAAGCUUGUUACACAAGUUCUGCAAUCUUAAGAGGUGUAGAGUGUUUCAUUGCGUUUGUGCAAAUUAAUCUGCGUUUUGUCAACGAAACAGAAGAGAGACCUCUGUGCGGUGCUUCUCCAGCAAGCCGUUGUUGAAGUGGUGCUAUUGUUUGCUGGUUUAUUUGCCUCUGAAAGAGUUCCCCAUGUGCUGCAAGACAAAAACAGUGAAUCAGUGUAGAAAAUGAUCUAUAUAUAUACUCUCUGCGGUUUGGAUUUCACCAUGUCUAGGAAACCAGACAAUCUGGUAUGUGAGUUUGCCCUUGGAUUUGUUCAAUUUCUUACUGUUUGUUUGAGUGUUGCAUCUUCCUUUAUUCUGCAGUUUGCAUUUGGGUUGAACUCUCUAUGUUUUUUUUCUUUCACAGACCAGCUGCCAAUCCGAACAAUCUGGAAAACACCAAACUGGUUUUUCCAUUCCCAUGUCCAUUCCCAUGUGACAAAGUGAUACCUGCGAAAGGCUUAAAAUGGAAGAACCUUACGUACUAUGGUCGGGAUUUUGUUGCUCUCUCAUGUUCCAAAGAGGAAGAGAAGUUUGUGAAGGACAUGGAGAUGAACAAUUUAAAGAAAUUUGUAAAUCAAGGGUUUGAUUUUUUAUCAUUUCACCUUAUUAAUCAUCUUUUAUGUGUUUGUGCUUCCGGGAAUUACAUCUGGAUAAAUUUUUUACACAUGAGGUGAGCUUUGAAGACAUCAACAAAGCUUAUGAUUUAUUUCUUGAAGGAAAAUGUCUCCGAGGUGUGAUUUGGAUGAACAAAUGAGUAUGUCCCUCUGAUGUUAUUCUGUGUCUUCCCUUGGGACAUCUCUUAUCUUAUUGUAUGCUUCAUAAGUCCAAAAUCCAUGAAUUUUGGUGGUUGAUUACAAUAAAAUUGAAGGUUAUGGUUAUUCUACAACAUUACCACGGCAAUUAGAAAGUAAAA